rnacentral:rRNA from 1 species
UAGCGGAACUCCUACGGGAGGCAGCAGUGGGGAAUAUUGGACAAUGGGCGCAAGCCUGAUCCAGCCAUGCCGCGUGAGUGAUGAAGGCCCUAGGGUUGUAAAGCUCUUUCACCGGUGAAGAUAAUGACGGUAACCGGAGAAGAAGCCCCGGCUAACUUCGUGCCAGCAGCCGCGGUAAUACGAAGGGGGCUAGCGUUGUUCGGAAUUACUGGGCGUAAAGCGCACGUAGGCGGAUAUUUAAGUCAGGGGUGAAAUCCCGGGGCUCAACCCCGGAACUGCCUUUGAUACUGGGUAUCUAGAGUAUGGAAGAGGUGAGUGGAAUUCCGAGUGUAGAGGUGAAAUUCGUAGAUAUUCGGAGGAACACCAGUGGCGAAGGCGGCUCACUGGUCCAUUACUGACGCUGAGGUGCGAAAGCGUGGGGAGCAAACAGGAUUAGAAACCCUAGUAGUCCACUUAUG